UACGGAGGGUGCAAGCGUUAAUCGGAAUUACUGGGCGUAAAGCGCGCAUAGGUGGUUUGAUAAGCGAGAUGUGAAAGCCCCAGGCUUAACCUGGGAACGGCAUUUCGAACUGUCAGGCUAGAGUAUGGUAGAGGGUAGUGGAAUUUCCUGUGUAGCGGUGAAAUGCGUAGAUAUAGGAAGGAACACCAAUAACGAAGGCGGCUACCUGGACCAAUACUGACACUGAGGUGCGAAAAGCGUAAAAAAGCAAACAGGAUUAGAUACCCCCGUAGUCC
rnacentral:rRNA from 1 species